rnacentral:rRNA from 1 species
UGCGUAGGCGGAAUAAUAAGUCAGUGGUGAAAUCCUGUUGCUCAACCACAGAACUGCCAUUGAUACUGUUAUUCUUGAAUAUAGUUGAGGUAGGCGGAAUGUGUAAUGUAGCGGUGAAAUGCUUAGAUAUUACACAGAACACCGAUCGCGAAGGCAGCUUGCUAAACUAUUAUUGACGCUGAGGCACGAAAGCGUGGGGAGCGAACAGGAUUAGAUACCCUGGUAGUCC